ACCAGGAAGGCCGAGCGGUUAAGGCGUUGUAUUCAAGAUGCAAUGGAUGAAUGCCCUCGUGGGUUCAAGUCCCACUCCUGGUA